AAAAACUCAAAGUUGAGCCGUAAGUAAAAUAAAGUUUAGAGGUAGUUGAAUCUUGAAAAUUUAUGGUAGAAACUUUCAUUCCACCCUCCAAAUCAGGAGUGGGAAUAUUAGACACAUAAGCUCCACAACAGCAUUAUUCAGAAUCACAACAUAAUCGAUUAGUCCAUGCAAUGCAGCAAUGCAACCAUUCAGAAAACCAAAG
rnacentral:lncRNA from 1 species